rnacentral:tRNA from 1 species
UGGUAUGGCUACCGGGUACUGCCCCCAGAACUCCGACUUAUCAGGUCGACGUGAUCACUACUUCACCAUAGCCAA